rnacentral:rRNA from 1 species
AUACGGAGGGGGCUAGCGUUGUUCGGAAUUACUGGGCGUAAAGCGCGUGUAGGCGGAUCGUUAAGUCAGGGGUGAAAGCCCGGAGCUCAACUCCGGAAUUGCCCUUGAUACUGGCGAUCUAGAGGCCGGGAGAGGUGAGCGGAAUUCCCAGUGUAGAGGUGAAAUUCGUAGAUAUUAGGAGGAACACCAGUGGCGAAGGCGGCUCACUGGCCCGGUUCUGACGCUGAGACGCGAAAGCGUGGGGAGCAAACAGGAUUAGAAACCCUAGUAGUCC